rnacentral:rRNA from 1 species
UACGUAGGGAGCAAGCGUUGUUCGGAAUUACUGGGCGUAAAGCGCGCGUAGGCGGCUUUGUAAGUUAGAGGUGAAAGCCCGGGGCUCAACUCCGGAACUGCCUUUAAGACUGCAUCGCUUGAAUCCAGGAGAGGUGAGUGGAAUUCCGAGUGUAGAGGUGAAAUUCGUAGAUAUUCGGAAGAACACCAGUGGCGAAGGCGGCUCACUGGACUGGUAUUGACGCUGAGGUGCGAAAGCGUGGGGAGCAAACAGG